GGUAUCCAAAUUAAAACGAUGAAAACAAAAAAGCGGCCCCUUAGUUACUCUGUGGAGCUAGUAGUGCGAGCAUCCCUUUUUCCUCCAGACCAUUUAUGGAGCGUAGUGCUAGGCGGGUGUGAGAUCUUAUUGGCUGAGCGGCGACAGACAGGGGGUGGCGCGCGCUGCUCUCGAGGAGACGGUUUGAGGCGAGGCGUGCGCGUGACGCCUUUGGGGAAACGGCGGUUCUGAUUGACGGCUAAUUUGACCUUCGGUUGCGAGUGGGAGACAGCUCCCUGGCCCCCAGUUGGCUGGACGAAUCUCGGGGGAAAAGCAGCGAGCCCAUGCCCGGGAACGAGCCUUCCGCCUGGGCUACUGCCGAGUUCUGUGAACACUUUACCAUCAUCUUCAGACACUGCUCACGAGGUUUACAGGGAAACAGAAAGAAAAGAGGAAAAGAACAGAAUUCUAGCCAGGGUGUACAGUAUGAUCCGAUCUUCAGGUCCCAUGAGAGGCGUGUGCCCAGUUAAUAGCAGCCUAUUGACAUCAACCCAUCUGUUCAGGUGGACUGAAGCCAACAGCAAAAGAAAAUGGAUAGAUAAAGAACGACAGAGAGAGAGAGAGAGAGAAAUACAAGCCUCCGUUUAUACGUCAGAGCGGGUGUGUGUUUGUGGAGCAUUCGAGAUUUUAUACAACAGAGCACUCGGGAGACUGCGUGUGUUUACAUGUGGCUCAUUCACUGGGCUGGGAUGUCACUUGAAUCAUGAGUCUACUGCUUGAUUCUAGAGUCAGCUGCCGCUCAUUCCCCUCUCUUCUGUCCAUUCGGGUGCCAGGGGAUUCUGAUUGCUGUCUCCAUAGUGAUUCUAUGUGUCUUCAUAAAGCCCGUUCAGAGUCUG